UUACGACCACGCCACGUUGAAACAUCGAUUCCACUAAGAUCGCCGAAGUUAAGCAACUUCGAGUCUGCUUAGUAUCGGGAUGAGUGACUGCUUGGGGAUAGCAGGUGUUGUAGG